AUUGAACGCUGGCGGCAUGCCUUACACAUGCAAGUCGAACGGCAGCACGGGUGCUUGCACCUGGUGGCGAGUGGCGAACGGGUGAGUAAUACAUCGGAACAUGUCCUGUAGUGGGGGAUAGCCCGGCGAAAGCCGGAUUAAUACCGCAUACGAUCUACGGAUGAAAGCGGGGGACCUUCGGGCCUCGCGCUAUAGGGUUGGCCGAUGGCUGAUUAGCUAGUUGGUGGGGUAAAGGCCUACCAAGGCGACGAUCAGUAGCUGGUCUGAGAGGACGACCAGCCACACUAGGACUGAGACACGGCCCAGACUCCUACGGGAGGCAGCAGUGGGGAAUUUUGGACAAUGGGCGAAAGCCUGAUCCAGCAAUGCCGCGUGUGUGAAGAAGGCCUUCGGGUUGUAAAGCACUUUUGUCCGGAAAGAAAUCCUUGGCUCUAAUACAGUCGGGGGAUGACGGUACCGGAAGAAUAAGCACCGGCUAACUACGUG
rnacentral:rRNA from 1 species